CAGUAGCCACGGGAAUACGGAGGGUGCAAGCGUUACUCGGAAUCACUGGGCGUAAAGGACGCGUAGGCGGAUUAUCAAGUCUCUUGUGAAAUCUAACGGCUUAACCGUUAAACUGCUUGGGAAACUGAUAACCUAGAGUAAGGGAGAGGCAGAUGGAAUUCUUGGUGUAGGGGUAAAAUCCGUAGAUAUCAAGAAGAAUACCUAUUGUGAAGGCGAUCUGCUGGAACUUAACUGACGCUAAUGCGUGAAAGCGUGGGGAGCAAACAGGAUUAGAUACCCGCGUAGUCCCUGUCUCUUAUAC
rnacentral:rRNA from 1 species